CCCAUCAUCCAACAUAAGUCCAACAAAAGGCUUCUAUCAUCAUAAGUCCAACAAAAGCACUAAUAGUGAGAUAUUACAAGUUAAUUGUCACACUAUUCCUAACAAUGCAGCCAGCCUCCCUCCUCUUCCUCGUGUUCCAGCCCCUUGUACUCCACUUCUAGGUCGUCCACUUGCACUUCUUCCUCUUCCUCUUCCUCUUCCUCUUCCUCUUCCUCUUGUUGCAGCCCCUUCUAUUCCACUCUCACUCUCAGGUGCUGCACUUGCACUUCUUCCUCUUCCUCUUCCUCUUCCUCUUGUUGUAGCCCCUUCUAUUUCACUCUCACUCUCAGGUGCUGCACUUGCACUUCUUCCUCUUCCCCUUCCCCUUCCCCUUCCCCUUCAUCAGAAUCAGAGGAUGCAGCCAAGUCACUGUCAUAGCUACUAUCACUUGCUGCCACA
rnacentral:lncRNA from 1 species